rnacentral:rRNA from 1 species
UACGUAGGGCGCAAGCGUUGUCCGGAAUUAUUGGGCGUAAAGAGCUCGUAGGCGGCUUGUCACGUCGGAUGUGAAAGCCCGGGGCUUAACCCCGGGUCUGCAUUCGAUACGGGCAGGCUAGAGUUCGGUAGGGGAGAUCGGAAUUCCUGGUGUAGCGGCGAAAUGCGCAGAUAUCAGGAGGAACACCGGUGGCGAAGGCGGAUCUCUGGGCCGAUACUGACGCUGAGGAGCGAAAGCGUGGGGAGCGAACAGG